UCCCCUAGUAACGGCGAGUGAAGCGGGAAGAGCUCAAAUUUGAAAUCUGGUAGCCUUCGGUUGCCCGAGUUGUAAUCUAGAGAAGUGUUUUCCGUGCCGGCCCAUGUACAAGUCCCUUGGAACAGGGCGUCAUAGAGGGUGAGAAUCCCGUCCUUGACAUGGACCCCCGGUGCUUUGUGAUACACUUUCAACGAGUCGAGUUGUUUGGGAAUGCAGCUCAAAAUGGGUGGUGAAUUCCAUCUAAAGCUAAAUAUUGGCGAGAGACCGAUAGCGAACAAGUACCGUGAGGGAAAGAUGAAAAGCACUUUGGAAAGAGAGUUAAACAGUACGUGAAAUUGUUGAAAGGGAAACGAUUGAAGUCAGUCAUGCUCUUGGGACUUACCUCCCUUGAGUGGGGUCAACAUCAGUUUUGAUCGAUGGAUAAAGGCACGGGGAAGGUAGCACUCUCGGGUGAACUUAUAGCCUCGCGUCAUAUACAUUGAUUGGGACUGAGGAACGCAGCAUGCCUUAUGGCCGGGAUUCGUCCACGUACAUGCUUAGGAUGUUGACAUAAUGGCUUUAAACGAC
rnacentral:rRNA from 1 species